ACAAAGGCCGGGAGCUCACUGUCCUGGAGGUGUGCAAGCCGAGGGGCUGGGUGCAAGUGGACCUCAGAACACGCUGUCCCCAUCUCACAGGCAUUGUCCUGUCUCAUUGCUGGUAUCUGAGAGGACGUCUGUUUGUCUCCCAGAGUGCUGCCUGUUGUGUCCAUCCUCGGGUGAACCAGACGCCAGCCACAGGAAACAACCCAUGCCAGCUCCCGUUUGAAGAGAGCUGCACCCGAGUGCCUGUGAAGAAGACCACUCCGAGACCCCAAGCCCUACCCCCGCCUCUUCCCCCAGACAUGCAUGGUUCAGGCUGCUUCUACUGAGGAAGGGGACUGGAAAGUCUGACUUGAUCUUGAGGUGUCUCUAGUUUGUGUCAAGUUGAAUCCCUUCUCUUGAUAUUCACGAUUCUUCCUGUCCUGUGUGGAGGCUGGGGCAUUGACAAGAUGGCCUCAUGACCUAUCUUCCUCAUCCUUGGGGAUCUGCAGAAGGUAAGUCCUAGAUGAAUUAUGUUUCCCGAUAAGGCAUAUCCUUCGUUCCCACGGAUGGGCUUCUGAAGGUAGGGCACCUGGGGCAUUGACAGGCAUCCUACAGACAGUGGCUGAGAAGAAAAGCCAACACACUGAGAAGAGCAGUGGGAACACCGGGCUCUACGCUGACAAGAGCCCUGGGUUAGCCCUGGGGCUGUCACAGCUCUCUGGCAUCACCCUGGUGAAGUCCUUUGUGGAAAACAGAGGACAGCCUGGAGCUCUUCAGUGUUUCCCCCACUGUGGCAUCCUGGAGCUCAGGGAUGCUGGGACUCCUGGGAUUGAGACAAGGACUAGGGGGACAAUGAGGGAGGAGGUUGCUGAGAGUAUGGGAUCUAAGCAGGUAAACAAAACAGCAGCUCAGGAAUCAAAGUAAGUAAUAGUUUAAUGGAGUAUUUUAAAAUAUCAAAAUUAAUGCAAAAAUAUAAGAUGAACAAUAUAUCAAGACAGAAUCAGGAUUGCUGGCUGGCUUGACUCUUCUUAUGUCUCCAGGUAGGGCACACCCAAACGAUCCCAUCUUUGAUAAUAUAUAGAAUAUCUGAGGCAUGGCUAUGGGAUUUGGAGAGCUGGGUUCAAUACCAUCCUCUACAGUGACUUCCCUUCUCUGGAUUUUGGCUGUCCCAUCUGUCUUGUGUGGAGGCUGGGGCAUUGCCAAGAUGGCCUCCUGACGCAUCCCCUCUGGCCUGCUGAGGUUACUCUGUCCCUUUUCCUGGGAGUCUGUGUCUUCAGGGUCAUAGACUCCGGGGCUAUUAAUAUCUUGGCCAUCCUGGCUGGAGCAGGGUGUUUAAUGACUGCCAGCUGUGGUUCCACUCCUUCCCCUCCCCCAGAGAGAGAAGAGCCGUUCCUGUUCCCACAUGGGGGGGAGGGAAGCUCGCCACUGCUCAUUUAAACAAGACCUUGCAUGGCAGCUAGGAUGGAGGGGCUGAGUCACAGUCCUCACCCCACUGUGCCCAGAACACCCCGUGGGAGUGCCUGGGGACUUACCCUUCCACUCACUGUUUCUUCCAAGGGGCUGCCUUGGUCUUCCCACCUUCUGUCCCUUUAGGCCAUAUUUCCAAUAGUCUUAGAGGGUCUCUCCUCAGACACCCUGCAGACAUUACAGUCAACAUGUUCCACACCAGGACAUUGUCUCCCCACUGAUCUCCUCACUUUCCUGUUGAUGGCCUAGCAUCCUUUCCAGACAUACACCCUGGGUCCUUCUCCGCAUCAACCACCUACCAUCUCUCGACCUCAUCUGAUAGACCUUCUCUUUGUCUCUACUGGCAAGCACCCCAACAUCGACUGGGCUGGAUUCAGGUGUCCCUGACACCUAAACACGUUUCCUUGGGAUCCUACGGCCUCUCGUAGCCCUCAGACACCUCAGUGACGGUCUGCUAGCAGGUAAACCAGCCUCCUUGGACAGGCUGUGUCCCAGAGUGGGAAGACUACCAGCAAUCAGGCCUUUCCCAGAGAGCAGAUGGAGUCUCUUUGGGUUCAGAUGGUAUGGCUCCCUGUCCUUACCCACCUGAAUUAACUGGCCUUUGCCCUUGGAGACUGUGGGUAGGCUUCAGUUUUAAGGAGCCACCAGAGUAUGGGUUUCAUUAGGUUCUUUUGGGUCAAGGCAGGACUCACAUGAGCCAGUGGUUUGAUCUUAGGGGAUGUGUGGAGCUGGCCUGGGUAUGAUCCUCACCACACCCUCUGUCUCAUUCUUGGGAGCUCAGAACAGAGGCCUGUUUCUGUGUCAGUUGCCUGCCUGUGAGAGACCUUGACUCUAUUAAGCCGGAAGGUGGACAAAGUUGGUAAAGUCUUCGAAGUGUCCACCAGAUGGUGCUAGAGAUGAGUUGGCCUGGUUUGACAGGUCCCUAGCAGGACCAGAGAGCGACCUGGGUAUUGGCAGAGGAAGAAGGGACUGGGAUAGCCUUGCCUGGAGUCACCCCUGCCCCACGGCUGUCAUCAACCCAGGAUAUCGGCACAAGUUUUCUUAGCUCCUCAACCAAGGCUUCCAGCCUCUCUUUAUCCCAGAACACCCUCCCCUGAGCAUCUCACCUUUGAGCAGUGUCCCAACUCUGCCCUUCCUGUCUUGAACACACCUUGAGUCUUACUUUUAUUCACUCUUUAUCCUCUUGGAUGGUACCUGCUCCCCUCUCAGGGCUCCAUGAUUUACCCCACAAGACACUGGGGAGAUUUAGGGCCCAUUCAUUUAGGCAUGGGGUCCCUUCUGGCCUUCACAUAGCUCAGGAGGCAUUUCUGAUAUGUCCUGGGAUGGCACUGAGUGGCAGCAGCCUUUGAAGGGGCCUUGCAGGUAUAUCUGAGCCUCUGCUAGCCCAUCCCGGCCUCUCUGCACCAGCCUAGCAUCCAUGUCUGGCUUGUCCAGCAAGACAACACCACAUGUUUACAAAGUGGAACCACAGAGAUGCGUUUACAGACCCUCAGGAGCUACGUCUCUCUGACCAGCUGAGGUCAUCUGCUUUGCCACACUGCUAUGUCUAAACCUUUCUGUUAGUUACACAGCCUCCCCUCACUGACUUUUGCUGGGACAUCUGCCCUGAUCUAAUCCUCUUGGUUGGCUCUAGGCAACAGCGACCUGGUUAUUGGAUUCUCUGUUUGCUGUGUUUUCAGGAAUGAGUGUGAAACCUUGCUGUUUCUGACUGUUCUAUUGGCUGUUUUGAGUUGCUCCGAUGCAGAAUCAGUCUCCUUCCAGCUGGAUUUAGGGGGUGAGGGUCACAAGGGAACCGUUACAACCUCUUCACACCCAGGUGUGAGUCAAAGGCUCUGGGGGAUAAGCCCUCUCAUGGAAAUGUAGGGCUCCUGUCCAAAGUUAGAAGGGUGGUAACUCCAUCUCUCAUUGGAAAAGGGGGUGACACUUGCUUAGAGGAAGCAGGAGACCCACACCAGCCAGGGGAACUAAGCCUGUUAGAGCCAAUAUUUAUUGUAAUACAAGGUGCAGUUCUGAGGGGACCUGCUGACACCAGCUUGGGUUAGAAGCUGCGUAGCUGCGAGGGUAGAGGGAGGCAUAAGAUGCCUUGACACCCCCUCCUCCUCCCCCGUCUUUAAUGUCAAUGACACACUCUGCCACUCUCUAAGGAGGCACAGCAACUGGGGGAUGAGGGUAAUAUUUCUGGUAAUACAACUCCAAGAGAAUCCAGCAGGUCACAAUAUGUAAAAAGGUAGUCUUUAAAGCCGGGCGGUGGUGGUGCACGCCUUUAAUCCCAGCACUCUGGAGGCAGAGCCAGGUGGAUCUCUGUGAGUUCGAGGCCAGCCUGGUCUACAGAGCAAGAUCGAGGACAGGCACCAAAACUACACAGAGAAACCCCUGUCUCAAAAAAAAAGGGUAGUCUUUAUGUUGGCAUUAGUGACAGGAAAAGAUACUUGUUCUCUCUGAGACUCAGUUUCCUAUUUGUGACCUCAGGAUCAAGGGGCCUGCGUGUUCAUGUCUCUGACCCUUGCUGUGGUUAAUUGGCAUGUAGAUGAGCACCCAGGGUGGGCAGCUCACUAUUGCUUUGGUUGUGCAUAAGGCUGGUGUGACUGGUCCUAUAGACAAAGCCCCCCGGUGAGCACUGGCUGGGGCUGUCUGCUCCCUUCCCAAAGGUAGGUCCCUGAGUUCCCAGGUCUGAGAAUAGACCGACACUGGGACAGUUCCUUCCUGAGCAAGGAUCACAACACAGCCGUGGUCCCCCAAACUGAAACUCCAGGUCACAACCAUAUCUGCCUGAGGUAGAGGAACUCACCCACGGGAGGAGCUGGCAGAUAAAAGCAGGACACUCGGGGAGGGGACUGCAUCCUCAGAGAGGAGUCUCACUGGCAACGCUUGACCCAAAGCGACUUGAGGGCCACAGUGGAAUUCUAGGCACGAACAGGGCAGAACCAUUUUGCCCUCGAGUCUCAAAGCUUUGAGGACCGGCGGUUGCUCUCCAGGAGGCGUAUGCUGAUUUUGUGCGCAUGACUGGCAGAGGAGCCUUUGGAGGCGGAGCCUGAUGCUGGUUCCUCUCCACAUCUUCCAGGGUUGGACCUCCUUGCUCUCCAGCUUCCAUGGACCCGGUCCUGGCUGCAGCAAAGGAAUGUGUCCAGACCAAAGACCUGGCCACGGUCAGUUUGGGUUCUGUCCCCAAUAUUAACCCAUCGCAGCUGGACUUUUGGAAAACAAGGCUGCUGAGGUAAAGGACACCAGUGUGUGCAGGACGGCAGUGGGCAAGCCCCACAAGUUUCCUUCUGGAAAGGAGAGCGAUGUUCUGCCCACACAGCCUGCUGGGUACAGAAUGCUGUCACACCAGGAAUGGGAGGAAGCCUCAGUCUCAAGCCUGACAGUUGCAGUGUUCUAGAAUAGAAUACCAAAUCCAGCAGCUCGUGACUCUAGCAGGGAGUCUUCCAACCACCGCUGAGAUUCCCCUAACAGAGGCCAGUCUAAGGACACCUAGGAUCCCAGGAUUGGAUGGCCCUAGUGGGACUUCCAGGCUUAUCUGGCCUGCAUGGUGGUCCUCCGUUCUUCAUUGCUACAGUAAAAUGAAGGUCUUAUGGGCCUCUGCAUA